GACGAACGCUGGCGGCGUGCUUAACACAUGCAAGUCGAACGGUAAGGCCCUUCGGGGUACACGAGUGGCGAACGGGUGAGUAACACGUGGGUGAUCUGCCCUGCACUUCGGGAUAAGCCUGGGAAACUGGGUCUAAUACCGGAUAGGACCCUGGGAUGCAUGUCCUGGGGUGGAAAGCUUUUGCGGGGUGGGAUGGGCCCGCGGCCUAUCAGCUUGUUGGUGGGGUGAUGGCCUACCAAGGCGACGACGGGUAGCCGGCCUGAGAGGGUGACGGGCCACACUGGGACUGAGAUACGGCCCAGACUCCUACGGGAGGCAGCAGUGGGGAAUAUUGCACAAUGGGCGCAAGCCUGAUGCAGCGACGCCGCGUGAGGGAUGACGGCCUUCGGGUUGUAAACCUCCUUCAGCACCGACGAAGCGCAAGUGACGGUAGGUGCAGAAGAAGGACCGGCCAACUACGUGCCAGCAGCCGCGGUAA
rnacentral:rRNA from 1 species